rnacentral:lncRNA from 1 species
GCAACACACAUUUCUAAAAUAAUCAUACAACGCACUACUUUAUCAAAAUAUUUAAUCAAUUCAAAUCAACAACAUUUAAACAAUCAAUCCAAAAUUCAAAACACUUAAUAAUUAAUACAACAACAUCCAAAACACUUAAAUAAAAUCCUAAAUUUUUUUCAUUAGUCUAUUGGGGUCCUAGAUUUCUUCUUAGCAGUUGACUUCGAACACUUAUCAGGACGAGGACGAUCACCGUCACCACCAGAUGUCAUCUGUAUGCAAGUUUACAUUAAAACAUAAAAAAAUCAAGUCAUUAUUUCAUAUUUCAUGUGCAUACACUUAACUAUUUUUAAGUUACUAGUACACAUUUCAUGUCACUACACUCGAACCAUUUUCAAGUCGCAAGUUCACAAUUUCAAGUAACUACACUUAACCGUUUUCAAGUCACAAGUUUGCAAUUUCAAGUCACUACACUUAAUAAUUUUCAAAUAACUUAUUCACAUUGCAAGUCACUACACUCAAACCAUUUUCAAAUAGCUAAUUGACAUUUCAAGUCACUAUACUUAACCAUUUUCAAAACACUACACUUAACCAUUUUCAACUCUCUAAUUCACAUUUCAAGUGACUAAACCUAAUCAAUUUCAAGUCAUGAAUUCACAUUUCAAGUGCCAACACUAAACCAAUUUCAAGUCAUGAAUUCACAUUUUUAGGUGAUUACACUAUACUAAUUUCAAAACACAAAUUCACCUUUCAAGUAACUGCACUAAAUCAUUUUCUAGUCGCUAAUCCACUUCUCAAGUGACAACACUUGAUCACUUUGAAGUUACUAGUACACAUUUUAAAAUACUACACUUCCAUUUUCAACUCUUUAAAUUCAUAUUUCAAGUGACUAAACCUAAUCAUUUUCAAGUCAUGAAUUCACAUUUCAAGUAUCAACACUAAACCAAUUUCAAGUCACGAAUUCACAUUUUCAAGUGAUUACACUUUGCUAAUUUCAAAACACAAGUUCACCUUUCAAGUAACUACACUAAACCAUUUUCAAGUCGCUAAUCCACUUCUCAAGUGGCUAGUACACAUUUCAAAAUACUACACUUAACCAUUUUCAACUCUCUAAUUCACAUUUCAAGUGACUAAACUUAAUCAUUUUCAAGUCAUGAGUUCACAUUUCAAGUGUCAAAACUAAACCAAUUUCAAGUCAUGAAUUCAAAUUUUCAAGUGAUUACACUUUACUAAUUUUAAAACACAAGUUCAACUUUCAAGUAACUACACUAAACCAUUUUCUAGUCGCUAAUCCAUUUUUCAAGUGACUACACUUGAUCUCUUUGAAGUCACUAGUACACAUUUCAAAAUACUACACUUGACCAUUUUUAACUCUCUAAUUCACAUUUCAAGUGACUAAAUUAUUUUCAAGUCAUGAAUUCACAUUUCAAGUGUCAAUGUUAAACCAAUUUCAAGUCAUGAAUUCACAUUUUCAAGUGAUUACACUUUGCUAAUUUCAAAACACAAGUUCACCUUUCAAGUAACUACACUAAACCAUUUUCUAGUCACUAAUCCACUUCUCAAGUUAAUACACUUGAUCACUUUGAAGUCACUAGUACACAUUUCAAAACACUACACUUGACCAUUUUCAACUCUCUAUUUUAUAUUUCAAGUGACUAAACCUAACCAUUUUUAAGUCAUGUAUUCACAUUUCAAGUGCCAACACUAAACCAAUUUCAAGUCAUGAAUUCACAUUUUCAAGUGAUUACACUUUACUAAUUUUAAAAUAUAAGUUCACCUUUCGAGUAACUACACUAAACCAUUUUCUAGUCGCUAAUCCACUUUUCAAGUGACUACACCUAAUUUCAUGUUUGUGGGUCAAAUUUCACCGAGAUUAACAAAAUUAAAGAACAAUAAUUUUAAAAAAUAUAAAAUCAGCAACCUAGUUGUAAUUUUAGAGCAAAUCAGCGUAUUCAACAUACAUGAACACAUAAAAUAAAGGAAUUGAAUCAAAUUUAAGUCAAACAUCACAAAAAUUUUAAUCUAUGAAUCUGAUUUUAAAACAAACAAACAUGUAAUUAGAGGUAUUGAGGAAUCAAACUGAACAAUAAUAGAAGAGAAGUUCAUUGAAAACCUCAUCAUCCAUCAACUCAGGCGAGGACAUGACGAAUGAAAGACGAGGGAGGCAAAGGGAGAACGGAUUGGUGGAGGUUGCCAGGGGUUGGCUAUGGAUUAGCUGCUGCUGGCGGCUCUUGGUGUUGGUUUUAUAGGUUUCCGGUAGUUAAUGGUUGUUGGAUGAUGGCUGAGCGGAGAAAAGAAUGAGGCGGUAGGAGAUCUUCGCUGGUUUGCUCGCUGGCUGAAUAGCUACUUGCAGCGGCGGCUGGUGGCGCUGACUGGAGCGGUUGCUGGUGGCACUGGAUGAAGCACUGACUUGGUAUUAUUAAGUGGUGAUUCGGUUGGAUACAGGUUAGACAGUCGCCCAUGAUGGAUUGGUCGGUGGAGAAGGCGUGGAGGUCAAGGGAAAGAGGGGAUGGCAAUUUUUAUCGGAUUAGAGAGAAAAGCUAGAGAAAGAGGUGGAUGUUUUUUGUUAGAAUGAAAUUAGG